rnacentral:rRNA from 1 species
GUCGAACGCGAACUUACCCUUCGGGGUAUAAGUAGAGUGGCGAACGGGUGAGUAACGCGUGAGUAACCUGCCCGCAAGUUAGGAAUAACCUCUCGAAAGGGGGGCUAAUACUGGAUGUGAACACUGGUUUACAUGAACUGGUGUUUAAAGUGGGGGACCUUCGGGCCUCACGCUUGUGGAUGGACUCGCGUCCUAUUAGUUAGUUGGUGAGGUAACAGCUCACCAAGACGAUGAUGGGUAGCCGGCCUGAGAGGGUGACCGGCCACACUGGGACUGAGAUACGGCCCAGACUCCUACGGGAGGCAGCAGUAGGGAAUUUUGCGCAAUGGGGGAAACCCUGACGCAGCGACGCCGCGUGAGUGAUGACGCCCUUCGGGGUGUAAAGCUCUGUUGAGAGGGACGAACCUGUAUGGUCCUAAUACGGCUGUACACUGACGGUACCUUUCGAGCAAGCUCCGGCUAACUCCGUGCCAGCAGCCGCGGUAAUACGGGGGGAGCGAGCGUUAUUCGGAAUCACUGGGCAUAAAGGGCACGCAGGCGGCGCUUUAAGUCAGGGGUGAAAGUCCACGGCUCAACCGUGGAAUUGCCUUUGAUCUGGAGUGCUUGAGUACUGGAGAGGUAAGCGGAAUUCCUGGUGUAGCGGUGAAAUGCGUAGAUAUCAGGAAGAACACCGGUGGCGAAGGCGGCUUACUGGACAGAUACUGACGCUGAGGUGCGAAAGCGUGGGGAGCGAACAGGAUUAGAUACCCUGGUAGUCCACGCCGUAAACGAUGGGUACUAGGUGUUGGCCCUCCGGGUCAGUGCCGCAGCUAAUGCGAUAAGUACCCCGCCUGGGGAGUACGACCGCAAGGUUGAAACUCAAAGGAAUUGACGGGGGCCCGCACAAGCGGUGGAGCAUGUGGUUUAAUUCGAAACCACGCGAAGAACCUUACCUGGCCUUGACAUAUAAACGCCGGAUGUGGAGACAUAUCUUUUCCUCCUAGCGGGGAACGUUUAUACGGGUGCUGCAUGGCUGUCGUCAGCUCGUGUCGUGAGAUGUUGGGUUAAGUCCCGCAACGAGCGCAACCCUUACUUCCAGUUGCCAUCGGAUAAAGCCGGGCACUCUGGAGGGACUGCCCGCGUUAAGCGGGAGGAAGGUGGGGACGACGUCAAGUCAUCAUGGCCCUUACGGCCAGGGCUACACACGUGCUACAAUGGACGGUACAGAGGGUUGCCAAGCCGCGAGGUGGAGCUAAUCCCGGAAAGCCGUCCUUAGUUCGGAUCGCAGUCUGCAACUCGACUGCGUGAAGUUGGAAUCGCUAGUAAUCGCGGAUCAGCACGCCGCGGUGAAUACGUUCCCGGGCCUUGUACACACCGCCCGUCAAGCCACGAAAGUUGGUCUUACCCGAAGUCGCUGACCCUCACGGGAGGUGCCUAAGGUAGGGCUGAUGAUUG